UUCCGGUUGAUCCUGCCGGGACCUGACUGCUAUCGGAUUGGUACUAAGCCAUGCGAGUCAUGGUAGCAAUACAAGGCGGACGGCUCAGUAACACGUAGUCAACCUAACUCGUGGACGCGGAUAACCUCGGGAAACUGAGAAUAAACCGCGAUAGAUCAUUAUGCCUGGAAUGGCUUAUGGUCCAAACAGUUUACUGCCAUGGGAUGGGACUGCGGCCUAUCAGCUUGUUGGUGAGGUAAUGGCCCACCAAGGCUAUAACAGGUACGGGCUCUGAGAGGAGAAGCCCGGAGAUGGGUACUGAGACACGGACCCAGGCCCUAUGGGGCGCAGCAGGCGAGAAACCUUAGCAAUGUGCGAAAGCACGACUGGGUCAGUCCGAGUGAUUCCUGAUAAAGGAGUCUUUUAUCUGUCCUAAAAGCACAGGUGAAUAAGGGGUGGGCAAGUCUGGUGUCAGCCGCCGCGGUAAUACCAGCUCCUCGAGUGGUCGGGGCGAUUAUUGGGCCUAAAGCAUCCGUAGCCGGUUCCGUAGGUCCUCUGUUAAAUCCAACCGCUUAACGGUUGACCUGCAGAGGAUACCGCGGGACUAGGAGGCGGGAGAGGCGGACAGUACUCCGCGUGUAGGGGUAAAAUCCUUUGAUCCGCGGAAGACCACCAGUGGCGAAGGCGGUCCGCCAGAACGCGCUCGACGGUGAGGGAUGAAAGCUGGGGGAGCGAACCGGAUUAGAUACCCGGGUAGUCCCAGCCGUAAACGAUGCUAGCUAGAUGAUUCAUUCGCAAGUCGCGAAUGAAGUGUCGCAGGGAAGCCGUUAAGCUAGCCGCCCUGGGGAGUACGGUCCCCAGACUGAAACUUAAAGGAAUUGGCGGGGGAAGCA
rnacentral:rRNA from 1 species